rnacentral:rRNA from 1 species
GACGAACGCUGGCGGCGCGCUUAACACAUGCAAGUCGAGCGAGAACCAGUCCUUCGGGACUGGGGAAAGCGGCGAACGGGUGAGUAACACGUGGGUAAUCUGCCCUCGGCACUGGGAUAGCCCGGGGAAACCCGGAUUAAUACCGGAUAGCCUUUCGAGCCUUCGGGCUCGUCAGAAAAGGUGGCUUCGGCUUCCGGCUGAGGAUGAGCCCGCGGCGGAUUAGCUUGUUGGUGGGGUAAUGGCCCACCAAGGCGACGAUCCGUAGCUGGUCUGAGAGGCCGAUCAGCCACACUGGGACUGAGACACGGCCCAGACUCCUACGGGAGGCAGCAGUGGGGAAUCUUGCGCAAUGGGCGAAAGCCUGACGCAGCGACGCCGCGUGCGGGAAGAAGGCCUUCGGGUUGUAAACCGCUUUCAGGAGGGACAAAGCCACUCGGGUUAAUACCCCAGAGGGUGACGGUACCUCCAGAAGAAGCCCCGGCUAACCACGUGCCAGCAGCCGCGGUAACAC